GGGGCGACCGACGGUCCUACACCCAAUGUGGCUCGGCCUUCUUCCUCUCAGGCAGUUAAAGGAAACCGGCACUACCCGCGUGUCUGCUUCUCCCGGCUCUGCCGCCGACCAGCUGCCGAGGUCGCCGAUUUCCUGUGACUUUCUUGUCAGAGUAUAUGCAUUGAAGCUAAAGACAAGAUAUUUGUGUAAUUUGUGUAAUCUGGCAUUGAAGUUGGAACAUAUGGCAAUGAAGAAAGAGACAGGAUUUGGGAUUUUCAUCUAAGAACAUGAUAGAUAACAACCAAACCUGUGCUGCAGGACAGGACUCUGUGCCCUAUGUGACCUGUAUGAUUUAUGUGCUUGAGGAGUGGUUGGGUGUGGAGCAAUUGGAGGACUAUCUGAAUUUUGCAAACCAUCUUUUGUGGGUUUUCACCCCACUGAUACUUUUAAUACUUCCUUAUUUUACCAUCUUUCUUCUCUACCUUACUAUUAUUUUCCUCCAUAUCUACAAGAGGAAGAAUGUAUUAAAAGAAGCCUACUCUCAUAACUUGUGGGAUGGUGCAAGGAAAACGGUGGCAACUCUGUGGGAUGGACAUGCGGCUGUUUGGCAUGGUUAUGAAGUUCAUGGGAUGGAAAAGAUACCAGAAGGAGCUGCACUUAUAAUUUUUUAUCAUGGAGCCAUCCCCAUAGACUUUUACUACUUCAUGGCUAAAAUUUUCAUCCAGAAAGGCAGAACUUGCCGAGUAGUAGCUGACCACUUUGUCUUUAAAAUUCCAGUAGAAACCAGCCAGGAGAGUUGAUAGUAUGCUCUCUGGAGUAAUAAAAGCAAAGCUGGCCCAGGAACCAGACUCAAACUCAGCAGUGAGCUAAGGAACAGUCUACUCCAGUGCCUUCUAUACAUAUGGGUUCAGUUUAUUACUUGAUGUGUUUUGUGCUCUUCAUGGACCAAGAGAAAAAUGUGUUGAAAUCUUGAGGAGUGGUCACUUGUUAGCUAUCUCACCGGGCGGAGUUCGAGAAGCCUUACUUAGUGAUGAAACCUACAACAUCAUAUGGGGUAAUCGUAAAGGCUUUGCUCAGGUUGCAAUUGAUGCAAAAGUGCCCAUUAUUCCUAUGUUUACACAAAAUAUUCGAGAAGGAUUUAGAUCACUUGGAGGCACAAGAUUAUUUAAGUGGCUUUAUGAAAAAUUCCGCUAUCCAUUUGCUCCAAUGUAUGGAGGUUUUCCUGUAAAGUUGCGGACCUUCUUAGGUGAUCCCAUACCAUAUGACCCAAAGGUAACAGCAGAAGAAUUAGCCGAAAAGACCAAGAAUGCUGUUCAAGCUUUGAUUGACAAGCACCAAAGGAUACCGGGGAACAUUAGGAGUGCUCUGCUGGACCGCUUUCAUAAAGAGCAGAAGGCUCAUUAGCAGAUAGCUUAAUGUGUCUGCAGUGACAAGUUUGCAUCUGUGGUACUGUCUUGUAGGUUGUAUAUUGAUUAGUGUUUUUAAAACGUUGUGCUAAUGAACAUCUUUCUUUAGAACUUAAACUUUAUAUGGUUAAUCUUAUCCUUUCAAUCAGUUGUGUCAAAUUUAAUAAGUAGCUCAUCAUUUGCUUGACUCAGCAAAUGAUCAUGUUGCAUUUGCAGUUUUUUUAGUAGUAUAUGAUAAGCACAGAAUCUUAGAGUUAAGUCUUCCUUGGUAUCCGCAGAUUAGGUCAGGCAGACUUUACUAAAUCAUGUUUCUUAUGUUUGUGUCUGUUGUGCCAAUAUGAUAGUAGGGUGUAGCACUUGCUUAAUUAAGAUGAGUGAUGCCUUUAUGUAUCUGUCCUUCAUUCCAUUCACAACUGCUGGCAAGUUGUGGAACUCUUUUGCACCUCAAUGAUUUAUGUUAAGCAUGCUAAUACUGUGCUGAUGAACAUUAUUUUAAGUUGCUUAUAUCUACUGUGAUAUAUCCAUAUAUGAUAGAUAUCUGUAGUGAGAAUCUAUAAUUGAAUUGAUUCCUAAAUCCUCUAGGAGUUAUGUAUAUAAUUUUGUCCAUUGGAUGUUGAAACUACUCCUUCAGGUAUGAUGUCCAGUUGCCAAGCACAUUGAAAGAGAUGUACUAUUUUAUAAAUCAAAUCAUUGUUAUUUGUAGUAUUUAUUAACCGAAUUGUUUAGUAUUUAUUUUAAAUAAGUAUCUAAGGAAAUGUAUAGGAUGAGUUGUCAGCACAGUGUUUUAUGGUGUAAAGACAAAAUCAUGGGCAUGCUCUGCAGUUCAUGUUAGAAGUGGGUUCUAGGCUAAGGAAUAACAUGCUAAGACAGCUCUGGUCUCGCUCAGUAUCCGGGCUCUCUUCCUGUGCUUUGCAGCCAGUAACGUGGUUAUUAUUUUAAUAAAACGUACUUGAAUGAUAAACUUCUGUAAACAUGGAGCUCUCUGAAAAUGUAAUUGCUUUUGAUUUGUUGUCUUUUUGAAAACUUAUUUUAAAAGUAUUUAAACAACAAAGUAUCAUAAGCUCACUGCAGUAUGUCUGUCUCCUACCACCUUUGUAUACUUGGGUUUUAUAUGGACUUUUUAACUACAAGUGUUUAUUUAUGACAUAUAUAAUGUAUAUAGAAAUGAUGUGAAAAUAAAGCUGAAUUGCACCUCCUUCUCUAGUAAAAAUGUUAUUCUUGAGAUUCUUCAAAAUUGUCUCCAUACGUCUCAGUAGUCAUUUCUUUUGACCACAAUAAAUAUGUGGUAUACGUCCUAUGUAGUCUGUAUAUUUCAGGGACAACUUCAGAGAAAGGAGCCAAUUUGCUGCCACUCCCUCUCACUUUAGUAAAUGGUACUUGGUUCAAAGCUGUUAAAUAUUUCCAAAAUGAAGGAAUAAAAGUCUAUAAAAUG